AAAGAGCAUCAAUGGCAUAGCAAAUCCUGAGGACAUCUAACUGUGGAAUCAAGAACGUGCAGACGGUCAAGCAGCCCAGUGUUUCCAUGGACAGCGGGUUCUUUCUACAAGUUUGGGCCUGAGUCCUUGGACUGAAAAAUAAAGCAAAAGAAGAGGAGCUAUAGGCUACUGGAAACAGACUCGGGCCCAGAGGCUGGAUGGAAGGGUCCUCUCUGAAGGAGCGGACACCAAAGAGUUAAAGCAGGCACAGGGGGGAGAAAAAAAAGAAGCCUUCAAACUAAUUUCACACUGAAAGUGAUGUUUAAUUUGAAUCAUGCUCUUCCCAAAGGAAAAAGCCUCGGACCACGUCUGAGAACGCCUUGGCUGGCCAAACCUCCCAACCCAUGUGCACAACGGAGGGAAGACAAGAACAAGGGUACGCACGUACACAGAGACAGCAACUACUGGACAUGCACUCGCAGCGAGACAUACAAACACACAGCGAGGAACAGCCGUUGGCUCCGGAGAGCCUCUCCACCUAAAUUGAUUUUUGCAUAUUUGCAAACAUAAAAUUUGUCAUAGUA